rnacentral:rRNA from 1 species
ACGAACGCUGGCGGCGUGCUUAACACAUGCAAGUCGAACGGUGAAGCGCCUUCCUUUUUGGUGGGUGUGGAUGAGUGGCGAACGGGUGAGUAACACGUGAGUAACCUGCCCCCUUCUUCUGGAUAACCGCAUGAAAGUGUGGCUAAUACGGGAUAUUCUGGGUCUGUCGCAUGAUGGGUCUGGGAAAGAUAUUGUUUCGGUGGGGGAUGGGCUCGCGGCCUAUCAGCUUGUUGGUGGGGUGAUGGCCUACCAAGGCGGUGACGGGUAGCCGGCCUGAGAGGGUGGACGGUCACACUGGGACUGAGACACGGCCCAGACUCCUACGGAAGGCAGCAGUGGGGAAUAUUGCACAAUGGGCGCAAGCCUGAUGCAGCGACGCCGCGUGAGGGAUGGAGGCCUUCGGGUUGUGAACCUCUUUCGCCAGUGAAGCAGGCCUGCCUCGUUUGUGGGUGGGUUGACGGUAGCUGGAGAAGAAGCGCCGGCUAACUACGUG